rnacentral:tRNA from 1 species
GCCCAGGUGGUGAAAUUGGUAGACACGCUACUUUGAGGGGGUAGUGCCGCAAGGUGUGCUGGUUCGAAUCCAGUUCUGGGCA